UCCAUGAUGUCUACGUGCCCAGGUGA
rnacentral:sRNA from 1 species